GGGCCCUGUCAUCUCGGUGCAAACGCUAACUUUUAAUCAGCGGAUCACAGGUUCGAAUCCUGUCGGGCUCACCA
rnacentral:tRNA from 1 species